GGGUUAGACUGUCUCCUUUUUCAAAUCAGUGAAAUUAAUCUCCCCGUGAAGAAGCGGGGAUACUCAUAUAAGACGAGAAGACCCCAUGGAGCUUCAAACCCAACUACACCCCUAGCUCUUAUAGCCCCACAACCCCCCCCUAGGCGCCGUGUGCUUGGUUUUAGGUUGGGGCGACCGCGGAGUACAAUAAAACCUCCACAAUGAAUGGGAACACCCCCUUAUCUGAGGGCCACACCCCCUAAGAAUUAGAACACUAACAUAAAAUGAUCCAUUACUUGAUCAAUGAACCAAGUUACCCUGGGGAUAACAGCGCAAUCCAUUUCAAGAGCCCCUAUCGACAAAUGGGUUUACGACCUCGAUGUUGGAUCAGGGUACCCCAGUGGUGCAGCAGCUACUAACGGUUCGUUUGUUCAACGAUUAAAACCCU
rnacentral:rRNA from 1 species